rnacentral:tRNA from 1 species
GUAACUUUAAGUUAAAGAAACUGUAAACCUUCAAAGUUUAAAAUGAUAUUAUAUUAUCAAGUUAUC